AUUGAACGCUGGCGGCAUGCCUUACACAUGCAAGUCGAACGGCAGCACGGGUGCUUGCACCUGGUGGCGAGUGGCGAACAGGUGAGUAAUACAUCGGGACGUACCUUAUCGUGGGGGAUAACGCAGCGAAAGCUGUGCUAAUACCGCAUACGCCCUGAGGGGGAAAGCGGGGGAUCGAAAGACCUCGCGCGAUUAGAGCGGCCGAUGCCUGAUUAGCUUGUUGGUGGGGUAAAAGCCCACCAAGGCGACGAUCAGUAGCUGGUCUGAGAGGACGAUCAGCCACACUGGGACUGAGACACGGCCCAGACUCCUACGGGAGGCAGCAGUGGGGAAUUUUGGACAAUGGGGGCAACCCUGAUCCAGCAAUGCCGCGUGAGUGAAGAAGGCCUUCGGGUUGUAAAGCUCUUUUGUCAGGGAAGAAACACCGGCUCUAACACAGUCCGGGAAUGACGGUACCUGAAGAAUAAGCACCGGCUAACUACGUGCCAGCCGCCGCAGUAA
rnacentral:rRNA from 1 species